rnacentral:rRNA from 1 species
AUGACGUCAAAUCAUCAUGCCCCUUAUGAGUUGGGCUACACACGUGGUACAAUGGACGGUACAAAAGGCAGCGAAGCCGCGAAGUGGAGCCAAUGCCAGAAAGCCGUUCCCAGUUUGGACUGCAGGUUGCAACUCGCCUGCAUUAAGUCGGAAUCGCUAGUAAUCGCAGGUCAGCAUACUGCGGUGAAUACGUUCCCGGGUCUUGUACACACCGCCCGUCACACCACGAGAGUUUGUAAC